rnacentral:rRNA from 1 species
UACGUAGGGUGCAAGCGUUGUCCGGAAUUAUUGGGCGUAAAGAGCUUGUAGGCGGUUUGUCGCGUCUGCUGUGAAAUUUCGGGGCUCAACCCCGAACUUGCAGUGGGUACGGGCAGACUAGAGUGUGGUAGGGGAGACUGGAAUUCCUGGUGUAGCGGUGGAAUGCGCAGAUAUCAGGAGGAACACCGGUGGCGAAGGCGGCUUCCUGGACCGACACUGACGCUGAGGCGCGAAAGCUAGGGGAGCAAACGGG